UCACAGCACGUGAUGGGAAUCACUGCACUAAGUUAAUGGUUCACAAACAGUUUUAUACCAAGUGUCACUUAAAAAAUGAAAAAUUCUCCAAGCACCAUCAUAAUGACCAAAUUUGAAAUACAGUAAUCCAAGAGAACACAGGGGCAAGUCUAGUAGUUUGAUCAAAACAAAACCACUCAUUUGAUGUUUUUAUGAAGGAGAUGACCACAUGAAUUACGGGGCCUUAUCAUCCCAUACGGUCGGAUGAAUGAAUUGGGCAGGAAAUACAUUUCCUCAGUCUUAAUCAUCAUAUGCUCCUAAUGAAAUGAUGAUGACGAUGAAAUUAAUUUGUACUGUCUUGACCUUCUCUGUCUUAAAACAGUUUGCUUUCAUCUCCACAGCGUCUGGAGUAUGAUCAAGAGCUUCGACUUGCACGGCGCAGUAAGUCUGCGCCAGUGAUGUGUUAAUCGUGCUGGUUAAUUCAAGGCGUGUUUGUAAAGACUUUUGGAAAGUGAUUGACUCCUUGACUCGAAUCCUUUUUAGACCGCAGUCCUGAUCCUUUCCUAGCCUCAUAUUAUGUAAGGAUAUAAUCUGCCGCCUCACUUUUAAUCAAUAACCACUCUGAUGUUUACAAGCGAUAGAUGUGAAGGAACACAAAAGCCUUUGUGGUCUCUAAGUGGAUUUCAAAGCUCAAUUGUCUGAGGCCUUCGGUUAGUCAGUUUGUGUAAUUAUAUACGUACACUAGGAGAGCGGAUGAAGAAAGUGAAGCAGUGGGUUUUAUUGAAAGCCUAAAAGUAAAUACAUCGGAAGCCCACCGGGGACUCUUACUGGUAAAGCACCACAUCAGAUCACAGCUCAGAUGGGUGCCUAUUAUCUGGAGAAUGUUCACUCUACAGUUUUGUGAAAGCUGGAGAGAGAUGGAGCUACACUGUCCUCUGCUGGAGAUCCUGCACACACUUUAGAAGCGGAAGGACUGCGAGGGUGGGACAUGCCAGCUUUCCACCGCCAAGCCGAGGGGGCCUGCAGCAGAUGUGACAUCACAACAGCUCAUCGCCACUCUGCAAAACCCCUCCUUUCCCUCUAUCAGACUCCCCAGCAUCUCCCACACAUUCCUCCUCUCUCCCUGCCUACACACACACGGCCAUUUUGAUCUCGUUUACAGUAAGGAGGGAAGAGAAGAGGCAUUAAAAAAAAGACGCUUUAAGCCAGUGUUGUUGUGUAAUGAACAAAUA